GUUGCCGGCCAAAGGGCGCGGGACCCACCCGAUCCCAUUCCGAACUCGGAAGUUAAACCGUGUUCCGUUUCCGGUGUUAGUAUGGUCUUCGGCCAUGUGAAGCCAGAAAAGCCGGCAGCC
rnacentral:rRNA from 1 species